rnacentral:lncRNA from 1 species
CGGUGUGGAGACACUGGGGUGAGAGUGCAGGUGGUUGUUAGAGAAUAACUUAUAUUGAGCGUGACUAAUAUAAGAAAUCACUAGGAUGUCUACUCACUCGUCGGUGAUUUUUUCGAUACUGUAGUGGUGUGAUAGGUUCUUUGACUUGUGGUAUGUUGGCUAUUCACAGCGAGGUUACUUAGUUUGACUGCAUAAUUUCUUGAUCUCUAG